rnacentral:rRNA from 1 species
UACAGGGGGUGCAAGCGUUGUUCGGAAUUACUGGGCGUAAAGGGCACGUAGGCGGCCAACUAAGUCAGACGUGAAAUCCCUCGGCUUAACCGGGGAACUGCGUCUGAUACUGGAUGGCUUGAGUUUGGGAGAGGGAUGCGGAAUUCCGAGGUGUAGCGGUGAAAUGCGUAGAUAUCUGGAGGAACACCGGUGGCGAAGGCGGCAUCCUGGACCAACACUGACGCUGAGGAGCGAAAGCCAGGGGAGCAAACGGGAU